GAUCCUGGCUCAGGAUGAACGCUGGCGGCGUGCUUAACACAUGCAAGUCGAACGAAGCAUUUAGAACAGAUUACUUCGGUUUGAAGUUCUUUAUGACUGAGUGGCGGACGGGUGAGUAACGCGUUGGUAACCUGCCUUGUACUGGGGGAUAGCAGCUGGAAACGGCUGGUAAUACCGCAUAAGCGCACAAUGUUGCAUGACAUGGUGUGAAAAACUCCGGUGGUAUAAGAUGGACCCGCG
rnacentral:rRNA from 1 species